rnacentral:tRNA from 1 species
CGCGGGGUGGAGCAGUUCGGUAGCUCGUCGGGCUCAUAACCCGGAGGUCGCAGGUUCAAAUCCUGUCCCCGCAACCA